rnacentral:rRNA from 1 species
CCUACGGGGGGCAGCAGUGGGGAAUAUUGGACAAUGGGCGAAAGCCUGAUCCAGCCAUGCCGCGUGUGUGAAGAAGGCCUUCGGGUUGUAAAGCACUUUCAGUGGGGAAGAAAGCCUUGGGGCUAAUACCCUCGAGGAAGGACAUCACCCACAGAAGAAGCACCGGCUAACUCCGUGCCAGCAGCCGCGGUAAUACGGAGGGUGCGAGCGUUAAUCGGAAUUACUGGGCGUAAAGCGCGCGUAGGCGGUCUGAUAAGCCGGUUGUGAAAGCCCCGGGCUCAACCUGGGAACGGCAUCCGGAACUGUCAGGCUAGAGUGCAGGAGAGGAAGGUAGAAUUCCCGGUGUAGCGGUGAAAUGCGUAGAGAUCGGGAGGAAUACCAGUGGCGAAGGCGGCCUUUUGGACUGACACUGACGCUGAGGUGCGAAAGCGUGGGUAGCAAACAGGAUUAGAUACCCUUGUAGUC